GGUGGCGAUGGAAUGCACCAAGAGGGUGUCAGGCGCGGGGCCAUUGCAACAGAAGGCUUCGCUGGUCCUGGCCGAAGAAGGAUCCCAGAGCCUUGCAGCCUUCAAGUAUAUUUGAGGAGAAAACGGAACAUUCCACUGCCUUUCACUAACCAUCUCACAGGAAUCCCAACCAAAGCAGAUGUAGCGGGCAAGGCACCGAAAAAGAUGUCGUGAGUGUGGUGCGGAAUAUCACGUCCCGUCUCGAGAAGGGUUAUGGGAUAGUGACGUGCGGAGCCGGCAGGAGAUCAGAUCACGAACAAGCUGACGUUGGCAGAGGCAACGAAGGAAGAAAUGUUCUUCCAGACACAUCGGUAUUUCAGGUGACAUUCUUCAGGACGGUCCUAGAACAGAAUUCCGUGGGAGCCAGCCCUGCCUUCCGGAACCGGCCAAGGACAAAGUUGAAGACAUGAAAACGAAACAAGCAAAGGCAGCAGAAAAUCGGGUCCGACUUCAGUUUGGAAUAUGGAACAGCUGGCUUUGUCAAGACCAGAUUUACCGUGUGGUUCUGAACAGAGUCCGGGAAGAGGUUUUUAACCCAGUGGGCAAUCCUGUGCGGGACCUUGAGUAGAAACGGUCUUUCUCAAAUGAUUGGUCUUUGACUUCGCCCAUCACUGAGAUCGAGUUGUGCGCGUGAGUGCGUAUUUCUUGGUGAGCGUGUAGGUCAGUGCCACGGGUGUUUGCCCGGCAGAUGCCGGGCACUCUGAUUGACAGUUGUGUCACUGAGAGAAGGUGGGAGGGGCCACUACUGUGUAUUAAAUCCCUUCUGCAGUGAUAAAUACAUAUUAUCUCAGUUAUAGUUUAACAGUAACCCUGUCAAGGGACUUUUAAUUAAUUCGGGAAUCAGGUUUUUAUUUUCUUUAUUAAAAAUUUUUUUAAGUUCAUUUAUAUUUGAGAGAGCGAGAAUGAGAGAGAGCAGGGGAGGGGCAGAGAGAGAGGAAAGGGAGAGAGAUUUGCAAGCAGGCUCUGAGCGGUCAGCACAGAGCCCCACACAGGGGCUUGAACUCACGAACUAUGAGAUCAUGGCCUGAGCUGAAGUCUGAAGCUUAACUGACUGAGCCCCCCCAGAUGCCCUGGAAUCAGGUUUUUGAUGCGGCAAAGCAUGUACUCAAAACCAGUUCCAACCGCAGAGUUCUUUAUAUUUCAUGCUAUGCAUCUAUUACCAUGCCACUAUUAUUGGAAUUCAGCAAAAUACAACCAGCACUAACUUUACUCGUUAUAAUUUGGUUUGAACCUUGAGGUUCAGAAGGCACUCAGGUCUGGAGCAGCCUUGAACUCACUGAGUCCACAAGACAGGAAGGAAAAACCCUUUCCCUAGAUCCCGUAGCCCCGUCACCUCCAAGGUUUCCAACCCUCCGCCCACGCGGGGUGCAUAGAACGGAAGGUGGCUUUUAACCCGCAAAGAAGCCCAACUCUGGAAGCCUUUUCUUCAUCAGAAUAGAAAGUAGUUAUCCAGAUGUGGGGCCCAGCUGCCAGGCAAACUGGGCAUCCCUGUGAAGAGAGGGAAUGAGGUGAGCCUUGAAGCACAUCCUGAUCAGCUCCCAGGAGGGGCCAGGGGAUCAAGGGGCCCAGAGGUCUCUCUGGGAGGUGGAGCAGGCGUGGGGGUGGAGGAGGGGGAGGAACUCCUGUGAAGGCUGGGAUGUCCAGAACGUGCUAUGGGUUUGCCAGCUUACAGGGUGGGUUCAUAGUGCCAGAGGGAAUGCCUGAUCCUAGAGUUCGGGGCAGCACAGAGAGCGCCUUGCCGUGGUUGGAUGCUGACCACUGGAGUGGGGUGGACGGGACCACCGGGACCUCUCGAGGCAACUAUCCACUCAUCCGAGAAUCCCAAGGCGUCCCUGCAAGCACAGGCCGAGACCCCUCCGGCUGACCCUUCUUCCUCCCUCUUCCAGGAAACCAGCAAACGUCUGGCCAAGCAGAUCCCAUUCGUAAUUCAAUAUUUCAUGCUGCAGCGAACGGGCACUGCCUUACAGAAAGCCACGAUGCAGAUAUUACAGGAGACAGACCACUAUUCCCGGCUGCUUCAGGAACCCAGCGACGCCUCCACCGAGAGGAGAUUCCUUAAGGAGAAAACUGACCGGCUCACGCUCUCUGGAAAUCAUCCAGUUAAAGGGGGCAGAUGCACAAAAGGGCAGCAAUGCUUUGGGGUGUUUCCCGCCGUGCGUUCACCCACGAAGUGGCUCCACAUCUGGGACCGCACUCUGUCGCCUUCCGUGUCCACCUUCGCUGGAUUGCACGCAGCACCAGAGUUUGGGUCUGACAGGCACACACGCCCCGGGGCGGUCCCCUCUGCCGGGAGAGAUGGCUCUCCGGGCCUUGGGCCCCACAGCCCCCCAGUUACGGGGUUCUCAAAUACUGCUCUCUUUCUUUGUUAAUUCAUCUUCCCCACCAUCAGAUUAUAAGACCCCAGAGCAGGGAGGUCCGUAUCAUAUUCUUCUUUGGUAUUUCCGGGAUCUUACAUGGCACUUGUUACCUAGUAGCUGCUUGAUGAAUGACAUCUUAUUGAACAAAUGCAUGAUGAGGGUGACCGGCUGCUAUGGCUUAGCUCCAGACUUUGGUCGUUGGAGACGGUGUCCCUGAGCUGGUCACUCUCAGAGGAAUCUGGCUGUGCCACCUGCUCCCCACUGUUGACCACGGUCGUGUUUACAACCCCCAGGACGUGAUACUGAUUGUCAUCUGUCCUGUUUCUCUGGCUGCGAUCAGCUCCCAUUGCUAUGUGAAGCCCUGAAGAGAAGUUUUAUAAGGAAAAAAUAUUUUUUUAAUGUUUACUUAUUUUUGAGAGGGACAGAGGGUGAGCAGGGGAGGGGCAGAGAGAGAGGGAGACACGGACUCCGAAGCAGGCUCCAGGCUCUGAGCUGUCAGCACAGAGCCCGACGCGGGGCUCGAACCCACGAACCGCGAGAUCGUGACCUGAGCCCAAGUCGGACAUUCAACCGUCUGAGCCCCCCAGGCGUGCAGAAAAAUACACGUUUUAAAAAAAUGUCGAGCUUCCUACCAGUGGUCAUCUCUAGAUUGGAGGAUUACGGCUAAUUUUAUUUUCUUCGUCACGCUAAGCAAUAGUUAAUUUCAGGGGGAUUUUAGGAACAUUAAGUGAAACCAUUUCUACGAGCUACCUGUCCCCCAAAUCCAGCGACUCUUCCCGCUCAUCAAACACCUCUCUUCUGCACUCUCUAGGUCCGUAGAGGCUCUGGGGGUUAGCCCUUGAACGUGGCUUCUGAAGAGGUAGCCCACCACACCUGGCUUCCCAGCAGGUCGGAGCAUGGGGCUGAGUGCGGGGCCCACGUUCCCAUCGGAAUAAGCUCACAGCUACCACAAGCACCUCAAGACCUCUGCAGCUUACCACGACCCAGCCGUGCCCCUCGCUCACAUCACGGAUGUCCUAGGCCGACUGGCAGGGUUCUGAGCCACACUGUCCCUGGGCCACCAGCAUCCUUCUACGUCAUGGCCCCACCAUCGCCGGCUCCUUCGAGUCCCCACCAGACCCUCUGCAUCUGACCAGCAGGUUGCCCAAGUGAGUGUGAAGACAGGUAGUGUGGCAACGACUCUUCAAUGCACGCGCCUGUUUCCAUCAUGGCACCUGGGGCACCUGGCACGCGGCGGAUGCUGUUUUGAGGCAAUGAGUGAUGGCUGGUGGGUGACUGCAGUGACAACAGAAAGAACAGGAUGGCUCAUGAAAGCGUGGAAAGGGAUUUCCAUUUCUCACUAGCUGUGUGAUUUGGGCCAAGAGCCCACCUCUCUGAGCCCCCAUUUCCUAGCUGACUGAUUUUUUUCUAUAGACCAUGU